ACUAGAACGUACCUUGAGCAUAUAUGCUGUAACCCGAAAGACGGUGAACUAUACUUGAUCAGGUUGCAGUCAGGGGAAACACUGAUGGAAGAUCGAAACAAUUCUGACGUGCAAAUCGAUUGUCAGAAUUGUGUAUAGGGGCGAAAGACCAAUCGAACCUUCUAGUAGCUGGUUCCCGCCGAAGUUUCCAUCAGGACAGCUGGUGCAUUUAAAAUUUAUGUAAAAUAAUCUUAUCUGGUAAAGCGAAUGAUUCGAGGCCUUAGGGUCGAAACGAUUUUAACCUAUUCUCAAACUUUAAAUGGGUAAAAACCUCAUCUUUCUUGGUAUGAAGAUUGUGGUUGUGAUAUAAUGUGCCCAGUGGGCCACUUUUUGUAAGCAAAACUGGCGCCGUAAGAUGAACCAAACGUAAUGUUAGGGGGCCCAAAUUGACAACUCAUGCAGAUACCAUGAAACGCGUCGGUUGCUUAAAACAUCAGAACGGUGGACAUGGAAGUCGCAAUCCGCUAAGAAGUGUGUAACAACUCAACUGCCGAAGCAAGUAGCCCUUAAAAUGGAUGACGCUUAAGUUGUAUACCUAUACAUUAGCGCUAAAAUAAAUGGUUGAAAUUCAAUUUAUUUGGAUUUGUAAACUUUAAGACUUUAGUGAGUAGGAGGCUACAAUGGUGAGCGUAGAAAUGUUUGGCGUAAGCCUGCAUGGAGUCGCCAUUGGUACAGAUUUUGGUGAUAGCAGCAAAUAAUCAAAUGGGACUUUGUUGGUC
rnacentral:ncRNA from 1 species